UGAUAAUCAGGUUCUGUAAGUAAUUAAUAUUAUUAAAUGUUCUACAAAGCUAGAAUAAAUAUUAUUACAUGUCCUGAAAGAGGAGAAAAAAAAGCAGUAGUAAAAGCUUAAACCGGUCUAACAAAAAAAAAACAAAACUAAAACAUACCUUCCAAUAGAAGUUUAAUCUUCUUGAUCAUCAAGCUCCGUUAGAAAGCAAUGGUUUGAGAUCUAGUGCUAUAGCUUCAACACUACUAAAAUCACAAGUAAUUGAAGUAGGAACAUCAUCCAAUUCCAACAUAAUUACUUCAGCAGCCUCUUCAGUAUUUUCAGUCUUUUCAGUGUUUUGUUCAACAUUCAACUUGUUACUUGGGGAUGCUCGAAUCCUUUCUAACUCUAUUGUAACUUCUUUCAUUGUAGGUCGUUUCUUUCCAUUCAAAUUUAAGCAUCUUAGUGCCAAAUUAGCUACUGCAACAAUUUCUUCAUCAUGGCAAUCCUCUGUAAUGCGAGCAUCAAUAAUGUCAAAAAGUCUAUUCUCUUCUGUCAAAAGAAUAAAAUUUGUUGCUAAGCUCAUAGUUUCUUGUGAGCUACUUAAAUAAAUUGGCUUUUGUCCACUUAAAAGCUCCACCAGAACCACUCCAAAGCUAUAAACA
rnacentral:misc_RNA from 1 species